GGGAGUGUAGCUUAGUGGUAGAGUGCUUACCUAGCAUUUGUGAGCCCCUGGGUUUGAUUCCCAGCAUUGCAA
rnacentral:tRNA from 1 species